ensembl:snRNA U6atac minor spliceosomal RNA
AGGUUGUAUGAAAGGAGGGAAGAUUAGCACUCUCCUUGACAAGGAUGGAAGAGGUCCUAGUGGCCUUCAGCACACAUAUGGUUAAGGCAUGAGGCACAGGUCCUGGAGGAAAUGGGGUCCUUGGACCAGGAGCAUUA